CCCUGGUGACUGAGAAGUAAAGAAUCUGCCUGCAAUGCAGGAGAACCAGGUUCAACCCCUGAACCAGGAA
rnacentral:tRNA from 1 species